rnacentral:rRNA from 1 species
AUUGAACGCUGGCGGCAGGCCUAACACAUGCAAGUCGAACGAGUGGCGGACGGGUGAGUAAUGUCUGGGAAACUGCCUGAUGGAGGGGGAUAACUACUGGAAACGGUAGCUAAUACCGCAUACCAUCGGAUGUGCCCAGAUGGGAUUAGCUAGUAGGUGGGGUAACGGCUCACCUAGGCGACGAUCCCUAGCUGGUCUGAGAGGAUGACCAUGCACAGUGGAACUGAGACACGGUCCAGAGUCCUACGUGAGGCAGCAGUGGGGAAUAUGGAACUAUGGGCGCAAGCCUGAUGCAGCCAUGCCGCGUGUAUGAAGAAGGCCUUCGGGUUGUAAAGUACUUUCAGCGAGGAGGCGUUACCCGCAGAAGAAGCACCGGCUAACUCCGUGCCAGCAGCCGCGGUAAUUC